AGAGUUUGAUCCUGGCUCAGAGCGAACGCUGGCGGCAGGCUUAACACAUGCAAGUCGAACGGGCGUAGCAAUACGUCAGUGGCAGACGGGUGAGUAACGCGUGGGAACGUACCUUUUGGUUCGGAACAACACAGGGAAACUUGUGCUAAUACCGGAUAAGCCCUUACGGGGAAAGAUUUAUCGCCGAAAGAUCGGCCCGCGUCUGAUUAGCUAGUUGGUGAGGUAACGGCUCACCAAGGCGACGAUCAGUAGCUGGUCUGAGAGGAUGAUCAGCCACAUUGGGACUGAGACACGGCCCAAACUCCUACGGGAGGCAGCAGUGGGGAAUAUUGCGCAAUGGGGGAAACCCUGACGCAGCGACGUCGUGUGAGGGAAGAAGG
rnacentral:rRNA from 1 species